UACGUAUGGGGCGAGCGUUGUCCGGAUUUAUUGGGCGUAAAGAGCGUGUAGGCGGCCAGGUAGGUCUGCUGUGAAAACUCGAGGCUCAACCUCGAGACGUCGGCGGAAACCAUCUGGCUAGAGUCCGGAAGAGGAGAGUGGAAUUCCGAGUGUAGAGGUGAAAUUCGUAGAUAUUCGGAAGAACACCAGUGGCGAAGGCGACUCACUGGACAUGUAUUGACGCUGAGGUGCGAAAGCGUGGGGAGCAAACAGG
rnacentral:rRNA from 1 species